UCAUCUACAAAUAAGGACAAUUUUAUUUAUAGCUUUCUAAUCCUCAAACCUUUUAUAUCAUUUUCUUGCCUUACUGCACUCUAGGAUGGCCAGGGAAAUAUUGAACAGAGGUACUGGUAACAGGCAUCCUUUCUUAUUCCUGAAUCUAAAGGAAAUGAUUUUAAUGUUAAACUUUAACAUAUAGUUUUUGCUCUAGACUUUUGAUAGCUGUCCUUUAUCAGAUUAUGCAAAUUCCUUUCUAUUUCUUUUUUUUUUUAAUAAGAUGUUGAACUUUUUUAAAUGCUCAUGGUAGAUGCCUUUUAUCAGUUUAAGAAAUAUCCUUUCUCUACUGCCUUGCUGUGAAUUAUUAUCAUGAAUGGAUGUUGACUUUUAUCAAAUACGUUCUCUGAAUCUCUUAAAAUGACCCUAUAGUUUUUCUUUCUUAAUCAGUUAAUGUGGUGAAUUAUACUAAUCGAUUGCUUAAUGUUAAACCAGCCUUGUGUUCCUUUGGUAGACCCAUCUUGCUCAUUAUGUGUUAAUUUUUUAUUCAUUGCUGGAUUAAAUUUGCUGAUAUUUUAUUUAAGAUCUUUGAGUCUUUGUUCAUGAAUGAGUUUAGGAUAUAUUUAUCAUGGUCUCUUUGGUUUUGAUGUCUUGAUUAAGCCAGCCUUAUAAAUGAGUUAGGUAGUGUUUCCUGUUUUUCUUUUCUCAGGAAGAGUUUGUGUAAGAUUGUAAUUACUUGUUCCUUGAAUGUUUGUUAAAAUUCUCUUGGGAAGACCAUCUGAGGCUGGUGCUUUCUAAAGUAGAAAGACAUUUCACUACUAAUUCAAUUCCUUUAUUGGUUAAGGGACUACUCAGACUGUCUAUUUCUUCUUGGUCAGUUUUUGCCAGCCUCAGGCUAUCCAUUUUUGGUGAGACGACUCCAGGAGUAAUGCUGCGCUGUUUUCCACGGAUCACAUCAGGAGGCAACUCAGUGUUAACACAUCCCUGGUGAUGCCAACCUUGAUCAUCUGGCAAUCAGGUUUCUACUCCAUUAAGUCAUUAUUUUUCCCUUUGUAAUUGAUGAGUAUUUUAUGGGGAGAUAAUCCCCAAACUAUGCCAAUAUCCUAUACCCAUUAAACCUUCAUGCAACAACUUCAGCAUCUAUUGGUGAUUCCCACAUGAAUUAACCACUGUGAUGAUGAUCGUCUGAUUGUGAUUUCUGUCAUUCUUCUUCAUAUAGUAGUUAUUCUACUAUAAGGAAGAACUUUCCCUCUUCCUCAUUCAUUCAUUCAUUUAUAUCAGCAUGGACUUGUGAAUUCUAUUUUAUUCAGUGGGUUUUAAUCUAGUAUCAUUAAUUUUAGUACUCAAAUUGUCCCAAAUUUGGCUGAUGAAAUCCCCUUCAAGUUGUCUCCUUUAUCCUUUUGACAUGUCCCAAUCAUUCUUGGAGCACUUCCUUACAUUCUGGUACAACAAGAUGCUCCAGUCUCAUCUUGUACAUUCCCUGCCCCAGACCUAGAGUCAACCAUUUCUCCAAGGAGCCCUGGUUCCUCUUAGUAUUUAAAAACUAAGAUCUAGGCACUAAGUAUGCUCAUUCCUACUGAAAUGUCAUUAUUACUAGACCCUCUGGGAGGAUAGAUCUAGAAAAUAUAUUUAUAUCUCUAGAUGUAUAUGUGUAUACACGUACAUAUAUAGACACACUCAUAUAACUCUCUCUCUCUCUCUCAAUGGCUAUCUAUCUAUGUAAAAAAGUUCACACCAAUACCUUCAGUUCCAGUGCAGCACAUCAGGGUUAUUUCUAGCCUUUCCCCUUGCCAUAUUUGUAAAUCUCUUCUCUAGCAGCAAGAAACCUGGCUCUCAUUAUUCUCAAUAGAGUUUUUUUCUUCUUUCCUUUCUUUCUAAUUUUCCCCCCUGAAUUCCCCUGUAUGUGACUCAUCUCCCUAGCACACUGCUUGCCUCCUGGACUUCCCAGCCCCUCUGCUGCUGCCUCCACAGCCCCUUCUGCCUCCAAGGGAAGGGAAAGGGAAGGGAGGGGAGGGAAGGAGAAGCUGUCAAAUGACUUUUUGACUGAAUUAUUCAGAGAGGGAGGAAAGAAGAAAGGAUGGAAGGAAAGGAGGGAGGAAGGAAGGGAGAGAGAGAGGGAUGGUGGUAAUAUGUUUGUCACAGAUUUUCUUGAAGACUAAAUGAUCCCAAGUAGCUCAGUGCCUGGCAAAUAGGUGCUCAUAUCCUUAAUUAUUGUCCCUCCUCCUUUGUGUUCCAUUUGCUUAUUCUCUAUAGAUAACCCAAAUCUUUUCCUUUUAUUCUAGAUCCUGUUGGUUGGGAAUAUUAGUCCUAGCAGUGUAUUUAUUUGGACAGAAUCUUUUCACAACAAAACAAGCUGAGGUCCCAUGGAGCGGAUCAUAUAGACUGUGUCUAUACUGGGUUUGUUGAUAAUGGCGGUGUUUGGCAGAGACCGAAUACCUGGCUUCUAGAAGAAAACAUACCUCACACUCAAUCUUGCUCUUGUACGUGGAAGGCACACCAUGACCAGUGACCGUGUCUUCUGCAUGCCUGGAGAUAAGGUGGCCACAGGACCCAUAGGGACUAUUAGUGGCCAGUGUACCCUUGUUCACUGGGAUUAGGGAUUGGCCCUAAUUUGGUCAUUUCCGGCAAAAGUAACCAUAAACAUCACCCUGCAUCCAGAAAUUAAGGUUUCCUAAACAAUUCUCAGAAGGCAGUUCCUGACAGCACUUAAACCCCAAAGAAGCAAAGAGAAGCCAGAAACAAAAUCCAGAUGCCUAUCAUGAAACAUUCACUUUGUUCUGGAGGCCAGUGCUGCCAAAGAAAAAUGACUUCUCAGGCUUUCCAGAUACUGUCCCAAAUGGUGUCCUCAGUAAAGUAAACUUGGUGCCACAUAGAUUAAUGUGCUGCAAAGUAAGAAUGCCAGGGAACCUGGGAACGUUUGUGCUCCCAUGAAGUGGGAAGGACUGGCAAGCCCACUUCCUGUGUUGUCCUGAGGUCCUCUGCCACAAGGCCACCCAAGAAGGGCUGGGCAGAUGGGCCUGAGCACCACAGUCCAUGUCCAAACUCCUUUUGGGGUCCCAUUUGUGUGGCACCCUCUGGACUGGAUUUAGGGUAUUUCUGAAUCAGCAUUCCUGAAGAGGUUCUCUAAUUAAACACGUUAGAAAUCAACAGAAGGGACUGGAGGGAGGGGUAGGGAUGAGAGGACAGGAAGAGAGGAAAUAGAGGGGACUACCGCUGAUGGAAUAUCUGCCAUGCAUCAGAUACCUUAUGUAACAAUGAUAAUAGUAAUAGUAUCUUAAAUUAUUGGGCAUUUACUAUGUUGCAGGCUCUGUUCUUACGUAUAUUAUCUUUUUUUUUUUAAGAUUUUAUUUAUUUAUUUUUCCCCCCAAAGCCCCAGCAGAUAGCUGCACGUCACAACUGCACAUCCCUCCAGCCGCUGCACGUGGGACGCGGCCCCAGCAUGGCCAGGGAAGCAGCGCGUCGGUGCACGCCCGGGAUCCUAACCCGGGCCGCCAGCAGCACAGCGCGCGCGCACAACCGGCAAGCCACGGGGCGGCCCUUACGUAUAUUAUCUUAUUCGCUCCUUCCAGCAACCUUAGGAAGCAGGUGAGGAAUCUAAGACCCUCGGACCACCAACACUGGCAUCACUCAGGAGCUUGUUAGAAACGAAGACUCUUGGGUCCCACUUCAGAUUCCCUGAGCCAGAACCUGUGCAGAACCGCUGAGCUAGCCCAGCGGGUCUCAGACUUGUGCACAUGGAAGAGUCAUCCAAAGACCGUGUUAAAACCGGGAUUCCUGGGUCCUGCCCCUAGCGUUGCUGAGUUCUGGUAUUUAGCAGUAGUAGUAUGGCCCUCCAUAGAAUUGCUUCUACUAAGUACUUUUUGGUAUCACAUCAUCUUUCAACAUUAGCUGGUGUUAAAAAAGUGCAAUUUUCAUAGUUAUUAGGGAGCAGGUGUCAAAGUUGUAUUUAGUUCAGGGGUUGACAAACUUUUUCUCUAAAAGCCCAAAUAGUAAGUAUUUUAGGCUUUGUGGGCCAUUCAGUCUCUGUCAUUUGUUGCAAAAGCAGCUGUAGACAAUAUGUAAAUGAAUGAGUGUGGCUGUUUUCCAGUACAACUCAGUAAUUCCCCCUCAUUUAACUCUUAACUGAGGGAACCUCCAGUGAUGGAGCGACACCUAGUUCAGAGUGUAUCUGAGGAAUGAGGAUUUUAAUAUUUGGACAGGAAAGGACAGAAAAAUAACUAAUACUGUAGGGGAGGAAAAACAAUUUUCCCUCUACCUUUCUAGGUUCUUGGCUGAGACUCCCUUAUAAUCAAAGAUGGAUUAACAAGAGAAAAACAAUUUUAAUUAUGUACGGGAGUCCUACAAAGAUAUGAGACUCAACAGGCAGCCAGGCAGUUGAGGCCUAUAUACCAUCCUGAGCUAAGGAAAAGGAUAGGGGUCUGGGGCUCAGAGGGGAGGAAGGCAAUUCACAGGAAGGUGAGAAGAGCAGAUGUUUGGGAAACAAAUGUUUGCCCUGCCACGCAGGGAGAUCUCUCAGAAGAAAAAGUUCUCUCUGGUAAUAGCUCUUUUCUUGGUACAGACCCCCUUUCUAAAUUCUUGUAGGCAGUUAAGUGGAAGGUGAAAAGCUUUUCCUGAGUCUGCUAGGUCUUCAUUGCCUUCAGCUCAAAUUAAUCCACAUGCUAAAGUGGCACAUUCUGGGGUGGCUUGUUCUGAACCCCCUCAAUAAAAUAUGCCUGGUUAACUUUCUUCAGGCCCAUUCAACCAUAACACGUUUGGGGUUAACUUUUCUACUGGACUAUAAAAUCUUAGCACUUAAUCAGUUUCUGCAAGGUAACCUCUCAUCUUACAGGGCUAUAAAUUGUCACUGCCUCUAUCAGUUGUGUGUUAUUAAUUAAAAAAAACUGUGACGACAAACUUGCAUUCCCCCAGAGUAUCAAAUGAGAGUUCCAUUUGACCAGGUCCUGAUUUUAUUCAAGUAGGAAAUUAUUUUGUAAUAAUAGAAAAUGCAUAUCGAAAAAGAAAUCAAGUAAACACCAUUGUAUCAUUUUUUUCCGAGUGGGGAUAACUUUUUUCGUUGACAUUAUAAGAAGAAGCCCUGUGACUUCAGUACUGUUUGCUGUGAAGAUUGUGGUGGAGGACAUGGUUUUCUGGUUUACAGGAUGACAUCUUGGAGUACCCACAGGAUAAAGUCUCCUGUCUCCUGUGAAUCAUAUAAUCUUCCUAACCAGACACCAGGGCAUGAAUUUUGUGUCCUCUCUUUCUCCCUGGUAGAAUCUUAUUUUACCUACACUAAUUUUUACUUAGUUCUUAC